CUAACACGCGUGCUGUAGACGAGAAACGUUCAGUCGAGACAGAGCUCAUCCACGGGUUAGUUGAUUUAUUCUCAUCCAACAGACAAAAUGGCCGAUGUACCAAAACGUGAUCUUGAAAAUAUCGAAUUCGUUUUCGAAAUCAUGGGCUCUGCCGGUGUGGGCAUUGAUGCCGUUGAUCUAGGUGAUGCCCUCCGCGCCCUCAACUUGAACCCAACCUUGGCGUUGAUCGAAAAAAUGGGCGGCACCAAGAAGCGCAAUGAGAAGAAAAUCACCUUCGAAGAAUUCAUCCCAAUCUACGCACAAGUGAAGAAGGAGAAGGAUCAGGGCUGCUACGAAGAUUUCAUUGAAUGUUUGAAAUUGUACGACAAAGCCGAGGAUGGCACAAUGCUGUUGGCUGAAUUGCAACACGCCCUGCUGUCACUUGGUGAGGCAUUGGAUGAUGAGCAAGUUGAGACUCUCUUCGCCGAUUGCAUGGACCCCGAAGAUGAUGAAGGCAUGAUUCCAUACUCCCAGUUCAUCCAGAGAAUGAUGAGCGAUCCAGUUGUCUUCGACUAAACGCAUUUCUUGCCAGAAUGUGUGAAAGACCAGAUAUGCUAUAAAAUCACCAUUCACUUAUAGCGGCAACCAUUCUCCAUAGAUGUUUUAUUCAUCUCUCUCUCGUAUAUUUAUUUUUAAUUAAUUAUUUAAUUAAUUUUUUCUUCUUAUGAAUACACUAAUUGCAUUACAAAUGUAGUGCGAUUACUUUUCAACGAAUAUCUACAAAAAGAGUAGCAAAACAAAACCUUACAAACACAAAUUAUGAAAAGCUUAAAGUAAUUUUUAAAUUAUGUAUAUAAAUCCAAAUUAUACCAAAAAAAAAAAACUAAAAUUAUAAAAUAAUUUUGUUGUUCAUUUAUUUAAUUUUAAUUACAUAAACACCAAAGAAAAUGCUAUAUAUGUAUAUGACUAUAAUAUACAUUAUAUAUGGAAUAUUAAAAAAUAACAACAACCAGCUCGUGUAGUCAACGUUGCAAAAAGGACUUAAUAAAUGUUACUAUAAUAAACAAAGAGAAAAAAA